GACGAACGCUGGCGGCGGGCUUAACACAUGCAAGUCGAACGGAAAGGCCCUGCUUUUGUGUGGUGCUCGAGUGGCGAACGGGUGAGUAACACGUGAGUAACCUGCCCUUGACUUGGGGAUAACUUCAGGAAACUGGGGCUAAUACCGGAUAGGAGCGCCUGCUGCAUGGUGGGGGUUGGAAAGUUUAGGCGGUUGGGAAUGGACUGGGGGCUUAUCAGCUUGUUGGUGGGGUAGUGGCUUACCAAGGCUUUGACGGGUAGCCGGCCUGAGAGGGUGGACGGACACAUUGGGACUGCGAUACGGCCCAGACGCCUACGGGGGGCAGCAGUGGGAAAUAUUGCACAGUGGGCGGAAGCCUGAUGCAGCAACGCCGCGUGCGGGAUGCCGGCUUUCGGGUUGUAAACCGCUUUCGCCUGUGACGAAGCGUGAGUGACGGUAAUGGGUAAAGAAGCACCGGCUAACUACGUG
rnacentral:rRNA from 1 species